UACGUAGGGUGCGAGCGUUAAUCGGAAUUACUGGGCGUAAAGCGUGCGUAGGCGGUUCGUUAAGUUCGUUGUGAAAGCCCCGGGCUCAACCUGGGAAUGGCAAUGGAAACUGGCGGGCUUGAGUAUGGCAGAGGGGGGUGGAAUUCCGCGUGUAGCAGUGAAAUGCGUAGAGAUGCGGAGGAACACCGAUGGCGAAGGCAGCCCCCUGGGCCAAUACUGACGCUCAGGCACGAAAGCGUGGGGAGCAAACAGG
rnacentral:rRNA from 1 species